AGAGUUUGAUCAUGGCUCAGGAUAAACGCUGGCGGCGUGCAUGAGACAUGCAAGUCGAACGGACGAUCGAGGCUUGCUUCGAUCGUUAGUGGCGGACGGCUGAGUAACGCGUAGGUGACCUGCCCCGAAGUGGGGAAUAACUGCCCGAAAGGGUGGCUAAUACCGCAUGUGGUGGUGUGUUCAUUCACACCAGUAAAGCCGCAAGGCGCUUCGGGAGGGGCCUGCGUCCGAUUAGCUCGUUGGUGGGGUAACGGCUCACCAAGGCGACGAUCGGUAGGUGGUCUGAGAGGACGAUCACCCAGACUGGGACUGAGACACGGCCCAGACUCCUACGGGAGGCAGCAGUCGGGAAUUUUGCGCAAUGGACGAAAGUCUGACGCAGCAACGCCGCGUGAGGGAUGAAGGCCUUCGGGUUGUAAACCUCUUUUAUCAGGGAAGAUAAUGACGGUACCUGAUGAAUAAGUCACGGCUAACUACGUGCCAGCAGCCGCGGUAAUACGUAGGUGACAAGCGUUGUCCGGAUUUACUGGGCGUAAAGAGCGCGCAGGCGGUCGUUCAAGUCGAGUGUGAAAGCCCCCGGCUCAACUGGGGAGGGUCAUUCGAUACUGAUCGACUCGAAGGCAGGAGAGGGUAGUGGAAUUCCCGGUGUAGUGGUGAAAUGCGUAGAUAUCGGGAGGAACACCAGUGGCGAAGGCGACUACCUGGCCUGUUCUUGACGCUGAGGCGCGAAAGCUAGGGGAGCAAACGGGAUUAGAUACCCUAGUAGUCC
rnacentral:rRNA from 1 species